GAAGAAUCAGACAGCUCCAUCUAUUUAGGGUUCCCCUGCACCUCCCUUGCUCCUCUGAAUCCGAUCAGCUCUGUAGAAAGCAACCAAGUUUCUUCUGUGAAGCCUCCCUACACCCAGCAUGGGAUCAAAGUAGUGAAACGGAGCCUAGCUGCCAUGAGAUGUUCCCGCCGUCUGCUUCUUCCUCCUUGUUCCUGUCUCUGCACACGUCUUAGCGUUCUUCCUUGUUCAUCUCUGUAGGGUGCAGAUGGGACCAUUGCCAUGAUCACCACCGUCAGAGUCCACUUACUGAACGCCUGCCCUGUGCUAACCACCACGUUUGCAACUUGACAUGAACUACGUCAUAUACUCCUCACAAAACCUAGCGAAGCAGAAGUAUCGCCCCGCUUUAAUGAUGGUGACACUGAGGCAAAGACAGUUUAACAGGCUGGCCAAAGCCCGCACAGAUGAGUGGGUCUUUGAACUGUAAGCUUCUCUCUUCUGAAGGGAAUUUAGAACCUUCAGAAAAAUUGUGACAGAGGCACAGGUACUUUAAGCACCCUUCAGUACCCCUUCCUAACUUCCUUUCUCUCUCUUUCUUUUCUUUCUUCCCUCCCUCCUGCCCUCCCUUCCUCCCUCCUUCUCUUCCUCUUUCUGUCUUCCUUUCUUGCUUGCUUGCUUUCUGUACUGGAGCUGAACCCAGGGCCUUCCACUGAGCUACAUCCCCAACACGUUUUCAUUUUUUGAGACAGGGUCUCCCUGAGUUGUCCAGGCUGGCCUUGAACUCGUGCUCCUCCUGGCUAACUGGGAUCACAGGCAUACACCGUAGCAUCUGGCUCAAUACCCUCCUUCCCACCACCGGGAAACUACUGUUCUCCACAGCUUUCUCCAACUGCCAGGAAUCUCAUCACUCCCAACGGUAUCUUUCUUGUGUCCUUUUCAGCAAGUGGAAGGGAGGCUUAGCAAAGUCUCAGCACCAGCUAUACUCUGAAGGCAGGGAAACCGUUUGCUUCUCUUUUUCCAACACUCAGCUUCGGUGUCUAAGCCACGGUCCAGUCCUUUGGAAGGAGCUGGGUAAUACGUUGUUAACUGGAAAACAAGCAAUCUUCACUUCCUGUCUCUUCAAGUCAGCAGUCCAGGGAUCAGGACCACAAACCUGUCUCUGGGACAGGCCCGAAGAGAUGGUGGCCUUUAGGUGGGCAGAGAAGAGAGCUGUCAGCGUCCAAGAAAGCCAAGGUCUGGGCAGCCUCCCAGAUGCCUAGGAGCUUUUCCUCUUGCAAUCCGUGCCCCAUGGGACACGUUCCUCCUCCUCAGGGUGGAUCAGACCGACUGACUCACCUCUAACACACUUUGGCCAGACCGAUGGCAUCAUGAAAGCCUACGAAGACACUCCAGGUCCAUCGCAGAGCUCCCUCCCCACGCGGCCUCUUAAAUCAUGUGUUCUCGGGGAAUUUAUCUACCCUGCCGUGAACAGCACCAUCAAAGGGUCACCUGGAAUGUAAACUAGUACAACCAUCGUGGGUGUUGGUAUGGGGAGGACUCGAAAAACUAAAAGCAGAUAAACGGCAUUGUUGUUUAUCACAAACGUGUGAAUCAAAAAGGAAAUGCCCGUGUGAUGCGCAACUCCAGACUUGCAGCAGGCAGACGCACUGUGAGGAGCUCGUGACUCAGUCGUGACCUGGGCCACUGUCCUGGGUGCUUCUGCCUCAGCCUCAGGAGAGAUGCCAAGCUAGAAGGACCCCACUGAGCCCCCAGAUUCCUGACCCACAGAGAUGCAGGUUCAUGCGAGCUUGUUGUUUUAAACCCCAGGAUCUGAGAUAAGUUCCUACGAAGUAUAGAUGUCUAAUACAUUAAAUUAGUUUUCAUGAUGGUUUUUCUCUUCCUGUAAGAUUAUUCAUUUCCUUUGUUGGCUAAUCUGCCUGUUCUAUGUCGCUUAGAUGGCUACUUAUUUUAGACACACAUUACAGGCAGGACAGAAUGCUUUACCCAGCCAGAAAGAAAUGUCAACACAUCAAAUUACAAUCUAGUUUCCUAUGUUAUUGGUAUGAGAAGAAUAAUAAAUUUGACUUGUUCAAGUAGAAAGAAAUGGC
rnacentral:lncRNA from 1 species